rnacentral:tRNA from 1 species
GCCCGGAUGGUGGAAUCGGUAGACACAAGGGAUUUAAAAUCCCUCGGCGUUCGCGCUGUGCGGGUUCAAGUCCCACUCCGGGUACCA